rnacentral:tRNA from 4 species
GCGCCCGUAGCUCAGCUGGAUAGAGUACCCGGCUACGAACCGGGCGGUCGGGAGUUCGAAUCUCUCCGGGCGCGCCA